rnacentral:misc_RNA from 1 species
UACUUCACUCUUAACAUGAAAUCAAAAUAUUUUUGAAAUCGGUCCUUGGGGUCCAGAGAAAAACUGGUUCUAAUAUUCCACAUGAACAGUCGCUUUACAAAGCCUGUCUUAUUUGCCCAGUAGUGGGAGUGAUUGAAAUAGGUUCCUUACUUCACUUUUAACAUGAAAUUAAAAUAUUUUUGAAAUCAGUCCCAGGGGUCCCGAGAAAAACCGAUUCAAAUGUUGUCCUUAGAUAGUCACUUAACAAAGUCUUUGGCAUUUGCCCAGUAGUGGGAGUGGUCAAAAUAGGUUCUUUACUUCACUCUUAACAUGAAAUCCAAAUAUUUUUGAAAUCGGCCCCUGGGGUCCGGAGAAAAACCGGUUCUAAUAUUCCACAUGAACAGUCGCUUUACAAAGCCUGUCUUAUUUACCCAGUAGUGGGAGUGAUUGAAAUAGGUUCUUUACUUCACUCUUAACAUGAAAUCAAAAUAUUUUUGAAAUCAGUCCUUGGGGUCCGGAGAAAACCCGGUUCUAAUAUUCCACAUGAACAGUCGCUUUACAAAGCCUGUCUUAUUUACCCAGUAGUGGGAGUGAUUGAAAUAGGUUCCUUAAUUCACUCUUAACAUGAAAUCAAAAUAUUUUUGAAAUCAGUCCUUGGGGUCCGGAGAAAACCCGGUUCUAAUAUUCCACAUGAACAGUCGCUUUACAAAGCCUGUCUUAUUUACCCAGUAGUGGGAGUGAUUGAAAUAGGUUCCUUAAUUCACUUUUAACAUGAAAUUAAAAUAUUUUUGAAAUCGGUCAAAGGAGACCCGAGAAAAAAACUGAUUCAAAUGUUCUCCUCAGAUAGUCACUUAACAAAGUCUUUGGCAUUUGCCCAGUACUGGGAGUGGUCAAAG